UGAGGAAUAUUGGUCAAUGGACGAGAGUCUGAACCAGCCAAAUCGCGUGAAGGGAGACUGCCCUACGGGUUGUAAACUUCUCUUGUACAGGAAUAAAAGACAUUACGUGUAGUGUAUUGCAUGUACUGUACGAAUAAGCAUCGGCUAACUCCGUGCCAGCAGCCGCGGUAAUACGGAGGAUGCGAGCGUUAUCCGGAUUUAUUGGGUUUAAAGGGUGCGCAGGCGGGAUUUUAAGUCAGCGGUGAAAUUU
rnacentral:rRNA from 1 species